CAGCCGCCGCGGUAAUACAGAGGGUGCAAGCGUUAAUCGGAAUUACUGGGCGUAAAGCGCGCGUAGGUGGUUUGUUAAGUUGGAUGUGAAAUCCCCGGGCUCAACCUGGGAACUGCAUCCAAAACUGGCAAGCUAGAGUAGGGCAGAGGGUGGUGGAAUUUCCUGUGUAGCGGUGAAAUGCGUAGAUAUAGGAAGGAACACCAGUGGCGAAGGCGACCACCUGGGCUCAUACUGACACUGAGGUGCGAAAGCGUGGGGAGCAAACAGGAUUAGAUACCCCUGUAGUCCCUGUCUCUUAUAC
rnacentral:rRNA from 1 species